rnacentral:lncRNA from 1 species
CAACAUAUUCCGUGCCGCUUUGGUGCUAUUUUGGGAAGUCUAAUUUUGUUGCCUCUCAAGAAGGGGGCAGAAGAAGGGACAGAUGAGACCAGACUUGUACGUAUUAAGUGAAUGAUUGAUUAAUUGAAAGAUAUUUCUGCUAGCGGUUACUUCAACACCAUGUGUGCUUGUUUCCAAAGACAUGUGUCUAUUGGAUAUCACUCGUCAGAAAGACUCUGCUCUAAGUGGCUCAUGCGCAUUCAUCUCCUCGCUCCAGGGCUCCAGCAGCUGCUACCAGGGCUGCAAGAAUGAUGCCAAAGAACCCAGGGAAUGCACUGAGGUCAAGCAGCGGAACAUAGAUGAUGCUCCCAACGCUGAUGCAAACACCUGCCCGCUGUACUCCUAUAAGAGCCAUCUCACACCUUCUAGCUUAAGAAGCAGAGCACAGACCCUCACCAUUACAGCUGGCAACAAUAUCUCUCCAAUUUGGGUGGCCACAGAAGAGCGAUGUGGCUACCAACCUUAAGCCAAGUGUCUCAUAGGAAGGAUGGCCCUGUGGGUGAGGCACUGGACUGGGACUCAAGAGCCUUGGAGACUUGGGCUCACUUUCCAGUUCCGCCAUAGACUUCCUUGGGUUUAGCCACCUACUUACCCUGUCUGUUCCCAUCUGUACAAUGGGGAUAACAGCUCUUCUCUACCACACCAAGAUGUCGUGAGGGUAAAUCCAUGAAUGAUUGUGAGGUGCUCAAAUAGGCCAGUGAUGGGGCCAUACGAGCAGCUAGACAGACCUAUUUCUGCAGUGGUCAUGGAAGGACAUUCCUAAACCCGGGUCUCUAGUAUCACCAAACCAACGAGCACUGUCAUUUUGAGGGUAACUCUUUCAAGUUAUAGAUAUAUAUGAAGGGAUGCUGCUGAGCCUUCAGGAUUGUUAUGUGAAUGAAAUAUGUACUGCACAGUUACUACACACAAGGUUUUCACGUUUUCAAGACCUAAUAGGAACAAAUGUGUAAUUGCAUCGUUCACUGAUUUAACCACUCAGUGUUUUUGAUGAACAGCCCCUUUAUAUUUUCAAUUCAUAGACUUUUACUGCAAAUAAUGAAAGUCAGAAAUUCAUUGGUUUGUGUCUGGGAACUUGCCCGAUGAAGAUGCACCUUUGCAUUGGGUCAUGGGCAGAAUUAGAGCCAGGGACCACCCCGCCUUCCCUGGGGCAUCUUGUGUACAUGGGAGGUAAAAAAAAACCUGAUCCCCAAAAGUAAAAGCAAUUACAGGGUUAUGAAUACAGAGCAGACAAUGGAUAUCAUAAAACAGAAAUAAAAGAUAAUAAUAACUGAUUUUAAAAGGGGAA